rnacentral:rRNA from 1 species
UACGUAGGGUGCGAGCGUUAAUCGGAAUUACUGGGCGUAAAGCGUGCGCAGGCGGUUCGUCGUGUCCGAUGUGAAAGCCCCGGGCUCAACCUUUGAAUGUCAGUGGAUACUGCCGGGCUAGAGUCCGGAAGAGGCGAGUGGAACUCCUGGUGUAGCGGUGGAAUGCGCAGAUAUCAGGAAGAACACCAACGGCGAAGGCAGCUCGCUGGGACGGUACUGACGCUGAGACGCGAAAGCGUGGGGAGCGAACAGG